rnacentral:sRNA from 1 species
CGGGGAGCUAGCGACUCGCUGGGCUUCAGGUGAUGCGCUUCUGGAGGCUGCUGGCGGAGAGCUGUUUUUGAUUGUGGGUUUCCCUGAUGCCCUUCCUUCCUCUGUGAUAUAAGAAACAACUGGGAAGGUAGGUGUGCCCUUUUCAACAAAGACGCUGGCAAUAAGAGAAAAUCAUUGAACAGAAACAACGCGUGCAAAACAGACAGGCAGAACCUCGUCCAGACCUUCGCCAAAAAUUCUUGCUGAAUCCAUUCAAUGCAAAGGAAGUCACAACAAUUGCAGGAAGACUUUGCCAAUGUGUGAAUCUCAUCAGUAGAGACCUGGGAAACAUCACCGGCAUGCGCUCCUCCUCAGAAACACCGCGCAUGUGCGUAUUUGGUGAGAAUGGUAGAAUAGGGUAGCUAGGCACCCUGGGAAGGUUAUUAUCAUUUAUGAAUGGGAUGGCCUUUGAUUUCAAGAAAUGAAAUAGAAAUUACAAAUGGUAAUGGAUUUUUAUAGCCUUUUAAUAAGAUGCUUUUACAAGACUGGUAAUUGUGCUUCUCUAUUUGCUUUCAACGGCCACCCUUUGAGAUCGAAUUCAAAUGACCUCUUGGCUGAUUGGGCAGAAGGUAACAUUUUCAACUUGACUUGUACAAAGGUGUACAAUUAGCUAUUUUUCCAUGUUCAGCAUAAAUGAACCGUGGCGUGACACGGCUGCUGUGUGGGAGAUAGAAUAGUCUGUUGUGAUGUGUACUGAGUAACAGGCACCAAAGGGUAAGGAGAAACCCCAGUCCUGCCUUCUCUGUAGACAGGAUCUGAGGCCAUGUCUUUACGUGUGCCACAGAAUACAGAGCUGAGCUAAUUUCUCAGAUAAUUUGAAUCAGCUGCUGCUGCUUCUAGGGAAGGAAAAGUGAGCUGGACAGACAUGGCCACUAAGGGAAGCACCAGAAAAAAAACACAAAGAACCACCUACAGGUUUUCAUCCUAUUAUUCUAGAAAAAUAUGCCUCGGGAUGAAUGAAUCUGAAGAUGAUUGCUUUGAAAUCAGUCUGCCUGGGCUUCUUCUGUUUUGUAAACUGUGCUUAUUUAAAUUGAACACAAUUCUAUUUUGUGUGUGUAUGGUUUAAAAAAAUUUUUUUUUUUUAGGGAAUCAUACAUAUUGAUACCAACUCAAAAGUUAUGGGGAUGACAAUAUAAACUUUAAAACAACUGGAGUGUCCUUUUAAGUGGCUUUAGUAGGACUAGCUGGGAGUUGCUGUGAGGUACCUGAAUCCUGCCUCUACUACUUACUAGACCCUGGGCAAGGCAAACUUGCCCAACACCAUGUUUCUGAGCAACUGGUUUAUCGUGAGAAUCACAGGACAUUGAAGGCAGAUUUAAGACGCACAUCUGUGCACAUAUCUGUAUCUAUUUAUGAGUAUGUAUUUGACUGUGCUAAUUUUAAAACAUUACUCUAGAUUCGUCAGUUAUGUUCCCUCUGACAGUCGAGAACAACUGUUCCAUUGACAAUGGGCUUGGUUGGACCACCCACAUCAGCACAGAGGAUGCGAUGUCACUCAACUUCUGCCUCCUUCACUGAGACAUUCUCCAUUGAAGCCUGAGUCACUGUGCAAAAGCUUGACUUCCCAGGGGUUACAAAGAUAUAAGGAAGACCUUGUCACAUGACGAAGACAGGACCAGGCACUGCAAUUGAUGGUCUUAGCUAUUCGUGGAGUUUGGAAUAUUCUAGCCCAGGAAUCAAGCAUGUGAGUGGAAAAAAAUGUAGUAAUAGAUUUGAAGGGAAACUGAGCAAGUAUCAGUGAACAGUAUAUUGGUAAUUAGUGAAGCUGAGUGAUCUUGAUAUUUCAAUCUGCCUGUGUGUCUUUCUGUCUGGGGAUCUUUCUGUUUGCCUCCGUCUUUCUGUCUCUUUUCUUGUCUCC